rnacentral:rRNA from 1 species
AUUGAACGUUAGCGGCGCGCCUAACACAUGCAAGUCGCACGAGAAAGGGAGCAAUCCCCGGUACAGUGGCGCACGGGUGAGUAACACGUAGAUGACCUUCCCUGGAGUGGUGGAUAGCCUGCCGAAAGGCGGGCUAAUACAGCAUGGGACCACAUGGUUUUGACCGAGUGGUGAAAGCGGGCCUCUGUUCACAAGCUCGCGCUCUGGGAUGGGUCUGCGUCCCAUCAGCUAGUUGGUGAGGUAAUGGCUCACCAAGGCAUCGACGGGUAGCUGGUCUGAGAGGAUGAUCAGCCACACUGGAACUGAGACACGGUCCAGACUCCUACGGGAGGCAGCAGUGGGGAAUAUUGCGCAAUGGGCGAAAGCCUGACGCAGCCACGCCGCGUGUGCGAUGAAGGUCUUCGGAUCGUAAAGCACUGUGGGGGGANAAGAACAAAGCCGGUGAAGAGCCGGCCCUGACGGUAUCCCCUUAG